rnacentral:lncRNA from 1 species
GUAAAUGACAGGCUCUUGAGGCAGCUGUGACUGGAGAUGAAAUUACGUGUAAAUGCAUUUAACACUCUGCUAAUAUAAUUUAAGUAGUCGGUAAUUGUUGGAACUCCCCCUUCCCUCUCCCCGUUAGGAGUAGGUGCUCAAUAGCAUUUGUUGAAUUGAAUUAAGUCCUCUAGAGGCUGCAGGAUGCUGCCUGAGUUUGAAAGCUGCAAGGAGCUGCCGAAUCACCAAUCAGGAGGCUUCUCAGUCUAAGUGGCGCCUAACAGCUCUAUUUGGCUGUUUUGAAAGAAAGAAAGAAAGAAAGAAAGAAAGAAAGAAAGAAAGAAAGAAAGAAAGAAAGAAAAUCUGCCUUUCCCUUCUGUUCUCCUGGUAGCCGCCUUCUCCCUGGCGUUCAGUCUCUCCACAGAAGAGAAAAACAAAGCAAAACAGUGUUUGCAGCAGGGACCUCAAGAGGUAGCCCGGACUCUCCCAUCUCUCUGGUCUCCACCCACUCACCAAGCCCUACUGAUGCUGCUGCUUCUUCCUUUUCCCUCCUGCCCGUGCCCUUGCUUGCAUGCUUCACUUUUCUGGGUGCUUGCCUCUUCCUCACUGGCCUCCAGCCUGCCAACACCACGCCAAGAUCCAGAGACACCAUGCUCAAAAGUACCAAACCUCUGUUGGCUUAGAACUGCAUGCAGGAUGACGUCAAGCUUGGGUGGACGUACAUGGUCCUCCUCGGUAGCCGGCGCUGCCUGGGUGGCCAGGCUUGGUUCUGCCAUGCUAUUUCAAGCCUCCAUGCUCGCUCACGCCUUUCCCUCAGCUUGAACACUCAGGGCACCUACGCCCCCACCCUCUACUCUUACUCAUUCUUCAAGCGCUCUCUCUCUCUCUCUCUCUCUCUCUCUCUCUUUCUCUCUCUCUCUCUCCCUCUCUGGAAAUACUCACUCAGCGCUCAUACCUACUCUGUGGGCCAAGGAUGCUUCCUCUCUGUGCUCCCACAGCGUCCUGCAUGAUUCCGCCUUCUUAUUGUUUUGACCUGAUCACACCGCCCUUGUUAAAAGCACUUUAAGAUUUCGGAGGCACCCCUGAUCUGGCUUCGAGACCCUGGCUGUAUCUGCUCUCCGUUAAACCAUCCACCAAGUCAAACCAAACAUGGCAGAAGACAUCCUGGCCUUUGGAACCACCCUUUACCCUCCAUCUCUCCCCCUUUUCCUCCUGUCUCUCUGUCUUCUCCCCCUCCUCUCUGUCUGCUCCUUCCUGAUGGAAAUUUGGCCUCUACCUGCCCUUGUGACUGGAAAAAGCAGCGUCAGUUCAUCAAAGCAGAACAAGGCUGCUACUUAGUGUCCUUGAUCUAUGGGUUACCAGGAAGGCCCAGGGUUACCCAGCCCUCUCUGGUCCCCGCCAGAAGUGGGGGUGGGGGCUCUUCAGCAGGUGUGAGGCCUGCCUGUGGCAGAGAACGUCAUCAAAUGGUGGGGAAAGACUGGGCAAGCAGGAAAGGAGGGGUGGCUUUGGAAGGGAUUGUGUGGAGGUGACAUGGCCACCGUGCCAGGUGAGCCAAGCUGGAUAGGACGAGCAAAGAGAAGUGACUUUUUUCCUCAGGUCAGCUGCCUCCUGGUGGAUGCUGGCACUAAGCCUACUGUCUCCCUUGCUAUCACUUGGGGGUUCUUUGGGCAGAUGGACGGAAGAGGCAGGGACAUGUACAGCUAGGAGGAGGUCUUCUGGGGCCAGAGGCCAUUGUUCAGUAGACCAUAGAGUCCAAGCCAACCGUCUCUUUCCAAGGGUUGAGCAGGACGUUACCUUGUAUCAGCCUGACCAUGGUCCCCAGCACAGCAGCAUGGCAAAAGCCCAGUGCAGUUUGAGGACCUCUUCUAAGCAGCUCACUGGAAGCCUGCCCCCACCUCCAAAUGGCCUGAAAGAAGGCAAGGCUGUGCCUGGGAAUGCACAUUCAUCAAGAAAGACAGAAGGCUCUUAAGAAGGAAGUCCACUUGGGGCCUUCUAACGAGGCCCAGUCCCUUGGUGUCCAUGCCCAGGAUGGUCCAUGGAUGGAGCAGAGACUGGGGAAGAGACCCAGAUAGGCUUUCCCACGGUGCUGCUGUUCCAGCUGUAGAAAUCAUGGUAUGGGCAUGUGCACUAGCACAGCAUACUGGCCCUCAAAACCUACAAUACUCUGUGAAGUUGAAGGAUCCAGGCUCAGGUUGCAUCAAAUUCAUGGCACUUGGAAACAAGACACACACGCCUCAGUCUCCAGACCUGCAGGAGGAUAAGUCACCUGAGUGUCAGCCAGGUGAUGGGCCCAUCAAGGGACUCAAUGUCCCCAGAGAGCAGUGGCCCUGCAUCCCAAACCAUGGGGAACAGAAGAACUCUCAAAGUGUUGUUCCCAUCGCCAGAGCAUUCUUCAGUAGGAGAAUUUCAGAGCUGGGAGAAUUUGUUUGCCUUUUCACAAGUUAUAAUGUUCCUUUUUGUCAGGCCAAUUUGCAAUACAAAAGGAUGGCCUACCGUUCAAUUAUGGAGAGAGGAAACACAAAACAAACCAAGGCUUCCCAACAUCAAAGUGAAUAUUAUCUUUGGCAAAAUGUGAAAGGAUGUAGGGAGUGGGGGGGGAAAGGCUUCCAGAAGUUUCUGUUAAUAAAGGCUUGUCAGGCCAUCCCGAGGCCCCAUUCCCCAUGGUUCUUCUGCAGGCAUCCAGCUUCUUUCCAUUUUCCUUGUGUUUUCUCUGCCCUCUUACUGCAUCUCUUUGUCCGUUGGCUUGUUUGUGCUGCGCUUGUCAAGUCUGCAUGUUGCAUUUUGCAGCAAGGUGAAGACACAGAACAAGGACUCAAUGUCCUGCCAUGAUUUGUGGGCCUCUUCCUCCUAACUGCCUUGUCUCUGGGAAUUUACCCCUAACCAGCACAGCACAGUGCAGACACAUUGUCCUUGUUCUUUGGAAGAAUAAUCAUUUACUGACUUGCUGACUGACAAAUAAAACAGUGCCACCACCCCCACCCCACAAAAGUGCUGGGGAUCAAACAGGGCCUGUGGCUUUGGCAUCUUCUCUGUUUCUGAGCUCCAUCCCCAACAGUUCAGUAUCACUUCUUCCUCCAUGAACACUACUCCACAUAUACUAUCUCAUUAAAGACUCUUUACAACCAUACCAGAAGAUAGUAUGAUGCUUUUCCCAUUUGGCAGACAAGAAACUGAGUCCUAGUGACAGUAGGCCACUUGAUUGGCAUCCCACAGCUACUAAGUGGCUCAGCCAAGGUAAAGACCAAAAAUCUUCCUGACUCCAGGAAGCCAGGCUGUGCGCAUAGUGAGUUGAGAUCCAGAGAACCAGGACAAAUCACAGAAACUGAGAUGGUCCCCCAAUGGAAAUGUGCUAAUGGCUGGGUGCUCUGAGACAGAUGUCCUGAGAUACCAUCUCCCCACAGCAAUCUUCACUCUGCUCCAGUGGGGACACUGAGGUAAUUGCUGUUGUCCCCUUCCUGCUCUUUACUUAUGACAUUAGCAUAACUGGAGAUUCAAAAGCUGCACACAUUGUGGAGCACUCAUGGUGAGCCCCUUGGGCAGGGAGCCCCUUGGGCAGGGCAGUGGCACUCUACACAGAGGCUUCAUAGAUGGCCCUUGUGCUAGUAAGUCCACCCAAGGGCAGUAGGCAACCUCAGACUUACAGAUUCUACAACUUUCAUGGCAAAUUUGGGGAGCCAUUUGUUUUUUCCUGUCCUGUCCAGGAUGACUUAACCCUAUUUGCUUCCUUUCAUACUCUUGAAAGGAAGUUAUUGGAAUGCAAAAACAGAUGAGUCUUCUUGCAUUUAAGACCAAGCAUAUUCUCCCUCUCUCCGCUUCCUUCCCUCCCUCUCAAGCUUUUGAGAUAGGGACUCUCGGAAGUUCUGUGACUUUGGGGCUGAGGCAGCUCUGUGAAUUUGUGUGGGGGUGGAUGGUGCAUGUGUCAUGGUCAGAGGACAAUCGGGGAUCAAACUCGGGUCAUUAGGCUUGCCCAGCAAGUGCCUUUAUUUGCUAGGACAACUCACAGAUCUUUUAAAAAAUUUAAAAGUAAUUUAUUAUUUUUAUUAUUUUCUUGUGGGGUUUCUAUGGAAGAGAGCGGAUCUGUCAGGAAGUGGGCCUGGGAGGGAGAAGUUGCCACUUCCCCUCUUUCCAGAGCUCCAUUGUCUCCUGUUCUUGGUUUUAUGAGACACCUCCAGAAUCUGUCGGUGAAGCCUCUUUUCUGCUAAAUUGACCUCAGAUGAAUUUUAUUCCCCAAAUCAAAUGACUGUUCGCUGCAGUGCUUUCCAAACAUCUCCACUAUAUGGCAUCAUCUUGCACAAGCACACGGCACAUGCACGCUUGUUAUUCAUGCCACCAUGUUUGGGGAGUUUUACUCUACGACAGAAUAGCACAAGAAAGAUAUUUGGAGCCUGCAAACUGCCAGACAGCUGGAAGGGCUGUGAGUGGAGGUAGCAUGUGAGCUCAUGCUGAGGGGGAACUUGUAUGUGGAGAGUCCUUCCUUCAGGGGCAGGAGGCCAAUCACAGACAGUCCUGAGUCCUCAUCUGCCUCACGGUCUAUCUCCCUGAGGUCAGAGCUUUGAGGGUAGGGGAUGCAUCACUGCAGAGCAGCAGGGGAAUUGCCAUGAUGCUUCUUCUUUGCAGCCUUGCACUGAAUGCAGCAAGAAAGAAAGUGGCAGGCUCUGGACUAGGCUGCCGGCUGGAAGCAGCAGAUGACAGGGUGAAUGCCUGGUCAGUCCCUUUGUAAAACACCUUUCCCUUUGCUACUACAUAGUAUGGCUACACAGGCCAUACUGAGAAAUUAUUUAUUCAUUUCACUAAAUUGCAACAGUUAAAUUCUCUGCCAGGCCCUUUCUGUGGCUCAAAGUAAUGCCUAGGUUAGGAAAAGAAGAAAUCUGUUAGCUGGGAAUGUGUGUAAGUGAGAAGCGAGAGAUGGGGGGCCUCUCCAGAGAGCUCCCCACUGCAAGGCCCCAAAUAAGUAUGAGAUGCUUUCCAGCAUAGAUAUCUUCUUGGACUGGGACAAGUGUGUGGAGAGGGCAGGGUGUUGAGCUUGGAUGCAAACGUGAGAAAGGAAGUCUGGCUCCUGCAGUAGAAUAAGAAACAAAGGUAAAGUUGGGUGCAGCCCAGUCGCUGCUAAGCAACAGAAAUCUGGUGAAAGCGAUUGUUCUAGAUUAAUUAGGUCCUGUUUCUAAACAACUAGCUAGUUAUUUUUUUUUUACAACCAGUGGAGUUCUGUAAGCAGAACUGCUAGAUAGUCCACCAUGUUCAAAUGAAUCUGGUGCGGCCCCGCACCUUCCCAAUGGUGGCCAGGCACCUGGCAGAAGUGAACGACUCCUCUCCAGAAGCAGAGCAUUAAUGCAUCUAUGUGCAACAUAAAAUACAACACACAGAUGUGAAAGUUAGAGGAGAAAAUGUACAAGAGUAGUCAAGAAAAAAAAAAAAAAAAACAACAGCGGCAGAAGCCCUUAAAAGCUACUCUAAAGCUCCAGAACUAAAAUGGUAUGGCAUUGUGAUCAACAGUCCCACCAAGGGGCACAGAAGAUGACUGUGUUCUCAAGUGUACUGUGGUACUAUCCAUAGCAGCCAAGACAACCUAUGGGUUUGCCAGUCAAUGAGUGCAUAAAGAAAUGAACACGUGAUGGGAUACUAUUCAGCUUUAAACAGGAUUUGUUGUAUAUUUCAAAAUGAUUCGAAGAUUCUAGAUAUUCCCAAAGUUGAACACUACAAUCGAUGGGUAUGCUAACGACCCUAUUUGCCAAAUAGAUACUGUCUUCGUGUACCAACAUAUCCUGUUAUUGGCGGCAGUACGCACAGGUCUGGAGGAUAAUGUAUGACUUGAGAUGAGGUGGUCAAGAGAAGACAAACAGCACAUGCUUGAUUGGUAACGGUGGACUCUUACAGAGGCUGAUUUCACAGAAACAGAGGUUAGAAGAGUGAUUAGCAGAGGCUGGGAAGGAAAGACGGGAGGGGGAUUGAGACCAGAUGGCUAAAAGGGGAGAAAGGAUGUAGCUCAGUGAUGGAGUGUUUACCUUGUGUGACAGAAGCCCGGGCUCUUUGCCUAGAAUGGCAAAACCAAGUUCUAGCCUUCUACAGUAGACUGACUGUAGUUAAUACAAUGAUUUAUUGUAUAUUUCAAAAUAAUUAAACGAUUCUAGAUAUUCCCAAUGAUGAACACUACAAUUGAUGGGUAUGCUAAUUACCCUAUUUGCCAAAUAUAUAUUGUCUUUGUGUACCAAAAUAUCCCGGACCCCAUAAAUAUAUACAAUUAUUGUGUCAAUGAUAAUGGAAAGUGUAAUAUCACCAUCAAACAAUAAAAAUAAUAAAG